rnacentral:lncRNA from 1 species
GAAAAUAUUAUAUCAAUGAACCAUCGUUCAUAAAAUAUGAAUACAUAUGGGCCAUCAAGGCCUCUCACAUACUGUACAAAAUGGACCUAUGUCUAGAAAGCCUCUAAGAUUGUUUGACAUCGAAUGGGACAGGGUUCCGGCCUACCCAUAAGUCUGUAGCAAAAUUCUGACACGAUGACUCACAGACUCGAUUGCACUCCGAAUGAGGUGGAGUCUUACCGAUCCUUCCCUGAAUACCAAUUUUGUCUUCUAUGAGGACUCGUCAAACUGAUUAUAUAUACCUGUAGGCAUGAAUGCAGCGUCCCCAACAUAAGGACGUCAGUACGAAUAAUUUACCAAGUAUGUAAGAAAGAACUGAAACAUAAUCUUAAGUCAAUAUUAAUUAAAGACAUAUUGUGACGAAAAUUCAGGCAUAUACAAAUAAUCUACAAUAUUAGAAAUGAAAAUAUUGACAACAGAAUAAAGCUUCAAAUAAUUUUGGCUAACAUGUAAGACCUAAAUUAUCAAUUCGAUCUGCAAUGUUAUCAUAGUGAUUUAUUAAAGGCCUUAUCCCACAAAAGAAAGACUGGAAUUUUAAAAUCAACACUUGCACUUUUGGGAGUUAUAUCUCUUAUACGUACUAUUCAAAAAUUACCAUUUCCCUUUUCUUUAGAAAAUUUACCAAUACGAUAAUGCACAUGUAAAUUUCUUCUCUUUAUCAGCCAUGUAUUUUCUGUUAUCUUGCAACAAGGAAAUUCAUAUAUUUGAAAUCACAUCAACUGGCAAACUAUAAAAAUAAAAGAACCUGCCUGAGAACAAACUUCAUUUUUUAGAACUGGAAUAACACUGUAAAUAAUGAAAUACUCAUAGUGUCAUGCAUAUGCGUAUGUAUGUCAUGUCGUGCAUAGAUACAUAUGUUCAUAACAUCAUCAAGCCUCUGAGGCAUCCCAUCAUAUCAUCUCGGCCACGGUGGGCAAAUCAUCAACAUAUACCAGCUGAUCAGGUGGUGAUACGUACAUAACGUCGUAAUCUUUUCUCAUAUCCCAUAUACAUAUAUAUACAUAUAUACGCGUAAAUAACGCCAUCUGAGUCAUGAGUAAAUGAACAUGUAAAUGAAUGCAAUGCAUGAGAAGUACAUUAAAAAAACUUUUGGAAUGUCAUAAGACCAUUAUGCCUUUGAUUAAUAUCAUGAAGUAAAAAUUUUCAACUUGCGUAUUUUUUUUAGGCCCAUGAACAUAUGAUCAAAUAAUACGACACAUAAAAAUUCAAAAACAUAGGCACCUGUAAUACUUCUAUCAAUAGAGUCAUUUAUAAAAGUUGUGCAUUUUCUAGUUUCGUUUGUGUCAUAUAAAUCUUUCCAAAAGAAAGAAGGGAUAACCUUAAUAUACUUGUAAGCUU